rnacentral:rRNA from 1 species
UACGUAGGGACCGAGCGUUGUCCGGAAUCAUUGGGCGUAAAGAGCGUGUAGGCGGCCACUUAAGUCCUGCGUGAAAUCUUGCGGCUCAACCGCAAGCGGUCGUGGGAAACUGGGUGGCUAGAGUGCGGGAGAGGAGAGUGGAAUUCCUGGUGUAGCGGUGGAAUGCGCAGAUAUCAGGAGGAACACCGGUGGCGAAGGCGGGUCUCUGGGUAGUAACUGACGCUGAGGAACGAAAGCGUGGGUAGCGAACAGG